CGGUAGGCUUAACACAUGCAAGUCGUGCGAGAAAGUAUCUUCGGAUAUGAGUAGAGCGGCGGACGGGUGAGUAACGCGUAGGAAUCUACCUAGUAGAAGGGGAUAGCCCGGGGAAACCCGGAUUAAUACCGUAUACCUCCUUCGGGAGAAAGAAGGCCUCUCUUUGAAGCUUUCGCUAUUAGAUGAGCCUGCGUAAGAUUAGCUUGUUGGUGAGGUAAAGGCUCACCAAGGCGACGAUCUUUAGCUGGUCUGAGAGGACGAUCAGCCACAUUGGGACUGAGACACGGCCCAGACUCCUACGGGAGGCAGCAGUGGGGAAUAUUGGACAAUGGGCGCAAGCCUGAUCCAGCCAUACCGCGUGUGUGAAGAAGGCCUUCGGGUUGUAAAGCACUUUAAGCAGGGAGAAAAAGUUAUAAGUUAAUACCUUAUAACCGUGAUGUUACCUGCAGAAUAAGCACCGGCUAAUUCCGUGCCAGCAGCCGCGGUAAUACGGAAGGUGCAAGCGUUAAUCGGAAUUACUGGGCGUAAAGCGCGCGUAGGUGGUUUGUUAAGUUGGAUGUGAAAGCCCUGGGCUCAACCUAGGAACUGCAUCCAAAACUAACUCACUAGAGUACGAUAGAGGGAGGUAGAAUUCAUAGUGUAGCGGUGGAAUGCGUAGAUAUUAUGAAGAAUACCAGUGGCGAAGGCGGCCUCCUGGAUCUGUACUGACACUGAGGUGCGAAAGCGUGGGUAGCGAACAGGAUUAGAUACCCUGGUAGUCCACGCCGUAAACGAUGACAACUAGCUGUUGGAAGACAACGUCUUUCAGUGGCGCAGCUAACGUUUUAAGUUGUCCGCCUGGGGAGUACGGCCGCAAGGCUAAAACUCAAAUGAAUUGACGGGGACCCGCACAAGCGGUGGAGCAUGUGGUUUAAUUCGAUGCAACGCGAAAAACCUUA
rnacentral:rRNA from 1 species